GGGGGGGUUUGCAAUUUGUAACAGAAAUUGAACUGGCUACAAAAUUACAACAAAUUAAUUCUUUUAGUAUAAAAAGUUCAUCAUGGUUACAGUAUUCCAGUCAAUUGAAUGUCAGAAAUUUAGACACUAGGCAGAGACAAAAUUACUAUUAAUAAAAGAAUAUAAUUCAAAAUAAAAUGACAUGCAGAAAUUCUGCAAUGAAAAUUUUCAGACAGAUUGAAAUAUGUUACGAAACAACUUGUACUGCACUCCUCAAAACCUUCUCAAGUUCAAAUCCACAGUCUUAAUACAUUUUUCUGAAGAUAAAUUUGAAUAAGAUGCCCUCCUACUUAUUAAAGGGCACACUUUCUUAAUUUUGAAAAUUUUAUCUUUGUCCUAACUCAAACAUCAACUUCUGUAAUGGGAAACUGGAUUCAUAAAUAAUUAAAGGUACAACUUAACUAUUGGAAUUAGCACAAAGAACCACUUUAUGCUAAUGUCCAUUUCCCAACUUGAUUUGCAUUCAAUAUUCGUUCUGAAGCUGAUGGAGCAAUUCUCACAGUUAAUAAGGGUCUACUAAACAUCUUAUUAGGAUUGCCUAUGAUACUUCAAUAAAAAAUUAUACAGGUUACUCUUUGCUCACUCAUCAGCGUAUUCAACAGUCACACAAGAUAGUAUAUCAAUUAUCAAGCAAUCAAGUAAGUCACAGGCUCACAGCACGUUUGCUUUCCCAGCUAAAACAAAGUAUGCCUUGACUCAUGACAUGCGAAUGCAAUCUCCAGAAAGUAAAACAAAGAUAAUAUAAAGAAAUACAAAGGUUGAUUACCUCAACAAUUCUCCCUUUGGGAAGGCCGCCACCUAAAGCAAAAUCCAGUGUCAAACAGCCACUGGGGAAAGUCUCA
rnacentral:misc_RNA from 1 species